GGCCUCCCAAAGUGCUGGGAUUACAGUGGUGUCUCCAAAUCCUGAGUCUUCUGUGAGGUCCAUGGGGGCCAUGAAAAUGUGGAAUACAACAGGGACCAUCAUUUAGAGAUGGCCUGGCUGUGAUUAUAGCAGCCCUGCUCUGUCUUUACUAACAAGCCAGCAGCAUGUAAGAACACACUGUGGAUGUGUGUGUUUUCUUCUUCUGUGUUUUAUUUUCUCAAAAAGAAUGACUGAUGACUUUCUUUUGCAAAUUGUACUAUAUUAUUCCAAUUGCAGUGGUAAGUUCUGCCAACAUUUUUUGAUGCAUAAGGACUGUUUUGAAUCUAUUGUUUUAUUAUGUCUUUUUUUUUGCAAAAUUAAGAAUAUUUUCUGUUUCUUAGUAAUCAUGUUAAAUUAAUGUACAGUGUUAUGACACUGAGCAUAAGCCUUUGAAUAAGUCCUCAGAAAAUAUA
rnacentral:lncRNA from 1 species